rnacentral:rRNA from 1 species
AUACGUAGGGGGCGAGCGUUGUCCGGAAUGAUUGGGCGUAAAGGGCGCGUAGGCGGCCCGGUAAGUCUGGAGUGAAAGUCCUGUUUUUAAGAUGGGAAUUGCUUUGGAUACUGUCGGGCUUGAGUGCAGGAGAGGUAAGUGGAAUUCCCAGUGUAGCGGUGAAAUGCGUAGAGAUUGGGAGGAACACCAGUGGCGAAGGCGACUUACUGGACUGUAACUGACGCUGAGGCGCGAAAGUGUGGGGAGCAAACAGGAUUAGAUACCCUGGUAGUCCACACUGUAAACGAUGAAUGCUAGGCGUAGGGGGUAUCGACCCCUUCUGUGCCGCAGUCAUCACAAUAAGCAUUCCGCCUGGGGAGUACGGCCGCAAGGUUGAAACUUAAAGGAAUUGACGGGG